AUACGGAGGAUCCGAGCGUUAUCCGGAUUUAUUGGGUUUAAAGGGUGCGCAGGCGGCCAUUUAAGUCAGCGGUUAAAUCGUGGGGCUCAACCCCAUUCUGCCGUUGAUACUGGGUGGCUUGAUUGCGGUCGAGGUUGGCGGAAUUCGUUGUGUAGCGGUGAAAUGCUUAGAUAUCACGAAGAACUCCGAUCGCGAAGGCAGCUCACCGGGCCGGAACUGACACUGAUGCUCGAAAGUGCGGGUAUCAAACAGGAUUAGAUACCCUGGUAGUCCGCACAGUAAACGAUGAAUACUCGCUGUUUGCGAUACACAGUAAGCGGCCAAGCGAAAGCGUUAAGUAUUCCACCUGGGGAGUACGCCGGCAACGGUGAAACUCAAAUGAAUUGACGGGG
rnacentral:rRNA from 1 species